UCAAAUUUUUCAAGUGCCUGGCAAAAGAGUACACAAAUCUUUCCUCCAGACAAGCUACUUGAAUUACGAGCCCUUGCUUUCAUACAUAUAUAUGUAUAUAUAUACAUAUUUACCCAAAGGGAAAUUCACAGAUAUGGAAAAUAAUAAAUCUUUCACUGCUUUAUUUGAUUCUUCCUUUGACUCAGCUUCAAAAGACAGACUGUGGGGCUUUAAUCUGACCACAGGCCAAUGGAGUCAGUGCUUUGUUGAAGGACUGCCAUGGAAAUGGGGAGUGAUGCAGCUCCGGAGGAGGCACAUUACGCUGAGGCACUUUGAUGGUGUGUGACUUGGUUUAAGAAAUUGAAAGUCGACAUAAACCUUGCCUUAAUACUGCAGUCUGUGGAAGGAACAAGCACAGGCUUUCUGAGGGGUGAGGGCUUGCAACACGCGAGGCUUGUGAGCUGUUAGACCAAACAUCUGGGACCUCCAGAAUGGCUGCAUUGAUGGAUCCAGCAGAAGUCACAAAGGCAAACUGGCAGCUGUAUCACUACCAGUUGGUCACCAGCAAUCGUGACUGCAUACUUGAACAGACAUGCCAAAAAUAUUCUCUGCUAUGUCUCGGAGAGUUACUCUUCCUCUGGCAUUGGCUGUUAGGCUGUUUUCACUGUCUUGGGAGCUUCACAAAGGCCUUCUCGCAGGGGUUGCAAAUGUCAGUCGUCAUCUCCGAAGCUGCCGCAGGAAGCGUUCAGACCAUCAGUGGGAAUGAACUGACUGUUGGAGGAUGGAGGUUCCCACAGCCCUAGGGGAGAAGCUGAAGCUUGUGCUGAUGAUGGUGGAUGAAACACAAGGCCAGAGCAUGCCCCAUACAGCAGCUGACUUGGCCAGUCCUUGCACAACUCCUCCCUUUUCUGCUAUAAGAAGAGGGCACAUCAUAGACAAAACGCAGGACCAAGGCUCUCA
ensembl:lncRNA